rnacentral:rRNA from 1 species
UACGUAGGGGGCAAGCGUUGUCCGGAAUCAUUGGGCGUAAAGAGCGUGUAGGCGGCCUGAUAAGUCGGCUGUGAAAGUCAAGGGCUCAACCCUUGAAUGCCGGUGGAUACUGUCGAGCUCGAGUCCGGAAGAGGAGUGUGGAAUUCCUGGUGUAGCGGUGGAAUGCGCAGAUAUCAGGAGGAACACCGGUGGCGAAGGCAGAUCUCUGGGCCGUAACUGACGCUGAGGAGCGAAAGCGUGGGGAGCGAACAGG